GACGAACGCUGGCGGCGUGCCUAAUACAUGCAAGUCGAACGCAUUUUCUUUCACCGUAGCUUGCUACACCGAAAGAAAAUGAGUGGCGAACGGGAGAGUAACACGUGGGUAACCUGCCCAUCAGCGGGGGAUAACACUAGGAAACAGGUGCUAAUACCGAAAAAUUCCAUUUACCGCACGGCAAACGGAUGAAAGGCGCUUUUGCGUAACUGAUGGAUGGACCGGUGGUGGAUUAGCAAGUGGGGGGGGUAACGGCCUACCAAGCGGGGGAUGGCUAGCGGGGACGAGAGGAUGAGUAGCAACAAUGGGACGGAGAAAGGGGCCAGACCCCUACGGGAGGCACAAGUGGGGAAUUUUGGAGAAUGGGCGAAAGCUUGAUCAAGCUAUGGCGCGGGCAGGAUGAAGGCUUUCGGGUUGUAAACUGCUUUUGUAAGGAACGAAAAGCCGCUGUCUAAUAAAGAGGGGUCAUGACGGUACCGUAAGAAUAAGAAACGGCUAACUACGUG
rnacentral:rRNA from 1 species